rnacentral:tRNA from 1 species
AACUAAUGAGCUUGUAAAAGCAUAUAUUUUGAAAAUAUAAGAAAGAAUAAAAUUCUAUUAGUUU